UACAGGGAGGUGCAGCUGUAUCGGAUUUACUGGGCGUAAAGCGCGCGUAGGCGGCUAAUUAAGUCAAAUGUGAAAUCCCCGAGCUUAACUUGGGAAUUGCAUUCGAUACUGGUUAGCUAGAGUGUGGGAGAGGAUGGUAGAAUUCCAGGUGUAGCGGUGAAAUGCGUAGAGAUCUGGAGGAAUACCGAUGGCGAAGGCAGCCAUCUGGCCUAACACUGACGCUGAGGUGCGAAAGCAUGGGGAGCAAACAGGG
rnacentral:rRNA from 1 species